rnacentral:rRNA from 1 species
UUAAAAUUGUUGCAGUUAAAACGCUCGUAGUUGAAUUUCAAAGAAUCGGUAUUUUAAGCAACGCUUCUAGCUUAAUCCACAUAACUGAUACUUCGUAUCGACUUUGUGCGCAUUUUGCUAUUAUGUGUUCUUUUAAUUAAAAUGAUUCUUUUUAAGGACUUUCUUUGCUUCGGCUUGGAAGUCCUUGUUACUUUGAGUAAAUUAGAGCGUUCAAAGCAAACAGAUAUAGCAUUGCGCGUUUGAAUACUACAGCAUGGAAUAACAAAAUUGAACAAGUCAGAAUUUUGUUCUUUUUUCUUAUUUUGGCUUAGUUACGAUUAAUAGGAGUAGCUUGGGGGACAUUUGUAUUCAGAUGUCAGAGGUGAAAUUCUUAGAUUUUCUGGAGACAAACAACUGCGAAAGCAUUUGCCUAAAAUACUUCCAUUAAUCAAGAACGAAAGUUAAGGGAGUGAAGACGAUCAGAUACCGUCGUAAUCUUAACCAUAAACUAUGCCGACUAGGCUUUGGAUGAAAGAUUUUAAAAUAAGAAUUUUCUUCGGAGUUUAUUCUUAGAUUGCUUCCUCAGUGCCUUAUGAGAAAUCAAAGUCUUUGGGUUCUGGGGCGAGUAUUCGCGCAAGCGAGAAAGUUAAAAGAAUUGACGGAAGGGCACCACCAGGCGUGGAGCUUGCGGCUUAAUUUGACUCAACACGGGAAAACUCACUAGUUUAAGACAAGAGUAGGAUUGACAGAUUAAUAGCUCUUUCUUGAUUUCUUGGAUGGUGAUGCAUGGCCGCUUUUAGUUCGUGAAUAUGAUUUGUCUGGUUAAUUCCGAUAACGAACGAGAUCUUAACCUGCUAAUUAGCGGUAAGUACGACAUAUUUUUAUGUCGGAUUGGAUCUGGAUGAUUUGCUUAUAUUGAGGUGCAAUCUAAAUAGGGGAUUGCAAUUAUACUUCGUGUCGGUGUUUCUUAAUCGAAUAGCUGAUGCGUUUGGUAUAUUGCUUUCCUUUUUUUUUAUUUCUGCGCUUCUUUACUUGGCUUAUCGUACCGUUUCCUUUUUGUGUAGAAAUGUAUUUGCAUUAUAUUAAAGCUUCUUAGAGGAACGAUGUGUGUCUAACACAAGGAAGUUUAAGGCAACAACAAG